rnacentral:rRNA from 1 species
AGUUCGAUCAUGGCUCAGAUUGAACGCUGGCGGGAUGUUUUUACACAUGCAAGUCGAACGGCUUGGCACGGACUUCCAGGUCUGGUGGCGAAAAUUAGCGAACGGGUGAGUAAUGUAUCGGACGUGCCUAGUAGCGGGGAUAACAUACGCGGCGUAGCUAAUACCGCCUUACCUUGUCGGAAAGCGGGGACCUUCGGGCCUCGCACUAUUAGAGCAGCCGAUAUCGGAUUAGCUAGUUGGUGGGGUAACGGCUCACCAAGGCGACGAUCCGUAGCUGGUUUGAGAGGACGACCAGCCACACUGGGACUACAGACGGCCGAACUCCUGAAGGCGGCAGUGAAAUUUUGGACAAUGGGGGAAACCUGAUCCCAGCCAUCCGCGUGUGCGAUGAAGGCCUUCGGGUUAUCGCUUUUUGGCGGAAAGAAACGGCACGGGAUAAUACCCGUGCAACUGACGGCUACCUGCAGAAGAUAAGCACCGGCUAACUACGUGCCAGCAGCCAUGACCAAUACGUAGGGUGCAAGCGUUAAUCGGAAUUACUGGGCGUAAAGCGUGCGCAGGCGGUUCGGAAGAAGAUGUGAAAUCUGAAGAGCAACUUUGAACUGCAUUUUUAACUACCGAGCUAGAGUGUGUCAGAGGAGGUGGAAUUCCGCGUGUAGCAGUGAAAUGCGUAGAUAUGCGGAGGAACACCGAUGGCGAAGGCAGCUACAAGGAUAACGCGGCGCUCAUGCACAGCGUGGGGGCAAACAGGAUUAGAUACCCUGGUAGUCCACGCCCUAAACGAUGUCAACUAGCUGUUGGAACCUUCGGGCCUUGGUAGCGCAACUAACGCGUGAAGUUGACCGCACCAGGAGUACGGUCGCAAGAUUAAAACUCAAAGGAAUUGACGGGGACCCGCACAAGCGGUGGAUGAUGUGGAUUAAUUCAGUGCAACGCGAAAACCUUACCUACCCUUGACAUGUCUGGAAUCCCGAAGAGAUUUGGGAGUGCUCACCGAAGAGAACCGGAACACAGGUGCUGCAUGGCUGUCGUCAGCUCGUGUCGUGAGAUGUUAGGUUAAGUCCCGCAACGAGCGCUAUUGUCAUUAGUUGCUACGAAAGGGCACUCUAAUGAGAUUACCGGUGACAAACCGGAGGAAGGUGAGGAUGACGUCGAUCCUCAUGGCCCUUAUGGGUAGGGCUUCACACGUCAUACAAUGGUCGGGACAGAGGGUCGCCAACCCGCGAGGGGAGCGUCGAAACCCGAUCGUAGUCCGGAUCGCAGUCUACCCAACUCGACUGCGUAAGUCGGAAUCGCUAGUAAUCGCGGAUCAGCAUGUCGCGGUGAAUACGUUCCCGGGUCUUGUACACACCGCCCGUCACACCAUGGGGAGUGGGUUUUACCAGAAGUAGUUAGCUAACCGUAAGGAGGGCGAUUACCACGGUAGGAUUCAUGACUGGGGUGAAGUCGUAACAAGGUAA